GAGUUCUCGGGCGCACACGCGCUACACUGACAGAGCCAGCGAGUUCCUCCUUGGCCGGUAAGGCCCGGGUAAUCUUGUGAAACUCUGUCGUGCUGGGGAUAGAGCAUUGUUAUUAUUGCUCUUCAACGAGGAAUCCCUAGUAAGCGCAAGUCAUCAGCUUGCGUUGAUUACGUCCCUGCCCUUUGUACACACCGCCCGUCGCUACUACCGAUUGAAUGGUUCAGUGAGGCUUUCGGACUGGCCCAGGGAGGUCGGCAACCACCACCCACGGCCGGAAAGUUAUCCAAACUCGAUCAUUUAGAGGAAGUAAAAGUCCUAACAAGGUCUCCGUUGGUGAACCAACGGAGGGAUCAUUGCUGGAACGCGCCCCAGGCGCACCCAGAAACCCUUUGUGAACUUAUACCUUACUGGUGCCUCGGCGUACGCUGGCCCCCAGGGGUCCCUCUGUCUACAGAGGAACAAGCACGCCGGCGGCCAAGUUAACUCUUGUUUUUACACUGAAACUCUGAGAAAAAAACACACUUUGGAAUCUA
rnacentral:rRNA from 1 species